CUUUAUGGUGCCUCUAUAAUGGGUUUCGAGUUUGAUCUGAUCAAAUCCAGUUCUAUGGGUUCACUAGAUUGUGUCGAUUUUUCUACUCAUUGAACUUCAUAAGUUUCACAUUAAAGGCAUCAGUACCUUUACCAAGGUACUUUUUUUCUAAAAGAAAUAUCGAACAACUCUUGUUCUUUAGUAUGGUAGAAGUUAUAUCCCCU
rnacentral:lncRNA from 1 species